CUGUCACUGAGGCGUUCCAUAAUAGGACGAAACGGCCGUCAAGCAG
rnacentral:hammerhead_ribozyme from 1 species